rnacentral:lncRNA from 1 species
CAGCGUCACGCGGCGUCUGAGGGGCGGUGGCGGCGCCGCCGCGUCCUGGCCGAGCCCGCGGCGGCGGAGAGCGGCAUAACCGCGCCGAGAUCACCGCGCCGAGAUCACCGCGCCGAGAUCACCGCGCCGAGCUGCCGUGGCUGGCCGCGGCGGGGAGGCGGUGGUCGGGGCUGCGGAGGGGACGUGCCGAAACGCGCGUGUUGGACGUGGGGCUAACGCCAUUGCACGCACCUACACUGGGGAGAGGAAAUUGGGUUCCCAACCAAACUCACCUGUGCUCAUGCAAGCUUAAGUAGUGCAUCUGUAAGAAAAAAUAUGGAUUUGGGAUCACAUUCCACUUUAAACGGUAAGUAGUUGCCAAAUGGUUAUUUAAUUAAUAUAAUAUAAAAUGUCUACUAAUGCUAAGUGUAAAGAACUCACAUUUAUGUCCAAAGGUGAAAACUUGUCUUGUUCAAUAACUUAAGGCAUUCAGUUCCUCUUAGAGGCAAAGCAUAAAGAGUGAGAUUUGCUAACUUCAAAGAUGGGCAUAUUCAAAAGUGAUCCCAUUAUAUAAUGGUGGAGAACUUCAUUUUUCAUCUUCACAUUAAUGUAAGGUUUUCAUUCUCCUCCUGGUAAGCCAAAGUCUAACAGAUGUGGACAGAGGUCAUAAUAUAGGCAUUAAAACCGGAGCUGAUAUAAGAAAAGAACAAUGAAUAUUUUAAAUGUAGACAUUUAGGAGCUAGUUUUUGAUCUUUAAAGAAUUGAUAAUACUACUGAAAUUAGUUUUGACAAUGGUUUACACAAGUGAAAUAUUAUAUAUUUUUUUACAACUCAUUCAAAACAUCCUGCAUCAGCUCACAUUCAGUUGCAGAGUAUAGAUUUAUUAGUUUACCAUUCUAUAUUUCUAGAAGGGUUGCCUAGGAACAGUUUCCCCAGGAGCCUCAUUAAUUUUAACUUAUGACACCUUUAAUGUCUGGCCACCUUUUUAUCUUGCCAAAAAUCAGUCCAAUUCAUGCUUUGGGGAGCUAACAAAUAUUUUAUACCCUACCCCUCCCCUGUUAAUAUUUGAAAAUGGUAGCAUGUAAUAAUAAACCCAACAGAAACUUGACUUCUAAAGGCA